GGAGAGGUGCCAGAGUGGCUGAAUGGGCUGGUUUCGAAAACCAGUUGCGGCGCGAGCCGCACGGGGGUUCGAAUCCCCCCCUCUCCGCCA
rnacentral:tRNA from 1 species